rnacentral:rRNA from 1 species
UAGGGAAUCUUCCGCAAUGGGCGAAAGCCUGACGGAGCAACGCCGCGUGAGUGAUGAAGGUCUUCGGAUCGUAAAACUCUGUUGUUAGGGAAGAACAAAUUUGUUAGUAACUGAACAAGUCUUGACGGUACCUAACCAGAAAGCCACGGCUAACUACGUGCCAGCAGCCGCGGUAAUACGUAGGUGGCAAGCGUUAUCCGGAAUUAUUGGGCGUAAAGCGCGCGUAGGCGGGUUCUUAAGUCUGAUGUGAAAGCCCACGGCUCAACCGUGGAGGGUCAUUGGAAACUGGGAAACUUGAGUGCAGAAGAGGAGAGUGGAAUUCCAUGUGUAGCGGUGAAAUGCGCAGAGAUAUGGAGGAACACCAGUGGCGAAGGCGGCUCUCUGGUCUGUAACUGACGCUGAUGUGCGAAAGCGUGGGGAUCAAACAGG